AGCUUAUGUAAUCAAGGAAAAAUUUGCAGUGUUUAUUGCAAUGGAAACUAAAGUUAGGCGAAAUUAAAAGUGUCGUAGGGUGAAUGUCAAUGUUCUCUUCGCCUUAAACAAUACUGUGAUCGCCGCAAUAUCGUUACCAUUAUUUCAAUGCGACCUAUAUUCAAUUUAACCUUAGGUAAAAUUAAAAACGCCCCACUUUCAUUUCGGUAUUCGGCAAUGCCGGCGUGGAACAACAGGCUUCGGUUUAGGUCCUAAAUGCUUGUGUGUAUCGGUGUGUGUGUAUCGGUUCCUCUGUCAAUACAUAAUUAUUUUAUUCUGUGAGUACAUUAUUUUUUAUAUAAUACCUAAUAUGAAUAAUUUGCUGGUGUUCUAGGGGUUGGACUCCUUGAAACAAAUCUUUGCAGAUUCUAAAGUAGCGUUGCAAAUCGCAUCCCUGCCGCGUAUCUUCCCACCAAAAGGUCGCUCGAGAUUGGGAAAAGAACACUGGAAGUAUACCACGAAUGAAUCUGUGGAAGGAAUAAUUAUCCAUGCUACAGCACCAGGAGAUAUAGAAAGUAAAAUACAAACUCAAAUUGAUAAAGCUGCUAGAAGAAAAGUACAUAGGGAAGUGCAACCCUAUUUAAUAGUUGAAGGCCCACAAUUGACCGACAUCAGGAAUACGUAUGUUGUAAUAAUUGAUAAAAUUCAUUAAUCUGCUUGGAAUUUUGAGAAUUUGAUGGAAUGGUUGAUUUGAUUUAAGAAUAAUACAUUCUAAAUUUUAUAAUAAAUAUUUAAUUAAUAAUU